UCAAAGCAUGUGCUGAGUUUAGGUGGUCUGCUCCUAGAGCUUCUCUCAGAAGCCCUAGGUUUGAAUUCUAAGAUCCUUAAGAGCAAGGAUUGCUUAAAGUCUUUGCUCAUGCUCGGGCAUUAUUACCCUCCGUGUCCACAACCAGACCUAACUUUAGGGGCAAAUAAACACUCAGACAACUCUUUCCUCACGGUUUUGCUUCAAGAUGACAACAUUGGUGGUCUUCAAGUUCUUCAUCAAGACUCUUGGGUUGAUGUCGCUCCUCUUCCUGGAGCUCUCGUCAUUAACAUCGGGGAUUACUUGCAGGUAAAAAAUAAGAAUCUGAAACAGAUAUGUAAAUACCUUAAAUCUUAAUGCGUUUUGUUUAUAUAUGUUGAAUUUGAAUUUGCAGCUGAUGACGAACGAUAAGUUUGUAAGUUUGGAGCAUAGGGUGCUUGCGAAUAGACAAGGACCAAGGAUUUCGAUAGCAAUCUUUUUCACCUCAAGUAAACGUCCAAAUCCCAACGUUUAUGGACCAAUGAAAGAGCUUGUGUCUGAAGACAACCCUCCUAAAUACAGAGACAUGACCAUACAAGAAUUACACAGAAGGAUACUUUAAGAAAGGUCUCGAUGGAACAUCGCAUCUCUUGAAUUUCAGGAUAUAAAAUUUGUGUGUUUCUUAGCAUCAAUUUAGUCUGUUCUUGGCUCUGCAAUAACUAAACCUACGUACCAAAACUAUAUCUAUAUCUCUCAUAUAUACAAAGAAUAUAUAGAAAGAAUAGCGUGUGAAAAAAAAAAAAAAAAGAAGAAAGAAUAGCGUGUGUGCAUGCGUUCAUAUGUAUUAAUGUAUAUGUGUUGAGCUACUCUGUAUUUGGAUCUCUUACAAUGUUAUAAAUCUAAGAAUUCUCUCCUCAAUUUCAGCACUCAAAUUAACGGUAGUUAAAGUGAAAUCUAGGGCUAUAUGCAUGAUUAAGUAAUUAGUCCAUAAUAAAACAAAAGCAGAGAAGAAAAAGUUAAUUACGACAAGUCGUUAAAGUGAGAGUGAGAGAAAGAGAGAGACAACAUUCAUGUGAUCAUCAGUUACAAAGUCUACAAAUUCAGUCCCACACACCAAAGACUAAAACUCCUACCGUCGAUUCUUAGUCGUCCAUUUUUGUCUUCACUUUGCUAUUUCUUCUUCUAAGUAGAAAUCUUGUGAAAAAGAAAGCAUAAAGAAUGGGGACCAAAAUCUCGAUCGAGUUCGAUCCUUAUAUCGAACGAAAGGCUUUCGACGAGACAAAAGUAGGAGUAAAAGGACUCUGUUUUACUUGAACAGAGAGUGAUUUGAUUUCGAACAUCAUUGAUCGACUCAGGGAUGCUAUCAUGCUAAUAUGCUAUGAUCGAAUGCUCAAAGCAUGUGAUGAGUUUAGGAUGUUUGCUCUUUGAGCUUCUCUCAGAAGCACUAGGUUCGAAAUCUGAUAUACUUAAGAGCAUGGAUUGCUUGAAGACUUUGGUUAUGAUCUGCCAUAAUUACCCACCGUGUCCACAAUCAGACCUAACUUUGGGGAUAAGUAAACACUCAGACAGCUCUUUCCUCACGGUUCUUCUUCAAGACAACAUCGGUGGUCUUCAAAUUCUUCAUCAAGACUCUUUGGUCUGAAGAAAACUGGCUAUGCAAAAAGUAAACCAAUGAAUCAAAAAUAAGAAAGCAUAGUCUAUUUCUGUGUGUAUGUGUUGAGCUACUCGGUGUUUGGGUCUUUUUUACUUUAGCCAUACGUAUCAGUCUAUAAGUGAAUGCUUUGAAUUAAUUUGAUCUAAAGAUUCAAAACUUUAUUUAAUCCAUACAUGGACGGUACCGUUAUGGUUCGGAAUGGUUGACCAAGUCCAAACUGUCGUUAAAAUGUUGAACAAUGAGUUGACAUAAAAAAAAAUCUCGUUCCACACAAAAUGGUAGAUGUAACUAUGUAAGUAGUCUAAAAACACUCGUAAUGAAAUGAUCUCUUCAAUUCCAGUAACCAAAUUUCCGGUAAUUAAAGCUUAAUCUUGCAUAAUUGAAAUUUCACCAAUAGUUUUAUGGAGUAUUUCAUAUUUAAAAAACCUUAUGUUUCGUAUCAUGCAAAUUAAACCACAGACGCUCUCAGGGUUGAUUUUCUGAUGGAGACCGAAACACACUGUGUCACUAACCUAUAAACGACAUGGUGCCUUCUACACAUAAAUCUCGAGAAAAGGCUGCAACAAAAAAAGGAAAAAAAAAAAAAACUGGUAGAAAUUUCACCUAAAAUAUCCCAAGGAAAAAAAAGGUAUUCCAAAACCCAAAAUUUUAAAUACACCUCAUUUUUCGGGGUUUUUGGUUGAAAUCUCAAACUUCCAGGUUUUUUUUCGCAAAUUUUCCCACCACACACUAAUGACCUAACUUCAACCGGCGGUUCUCAAUCUUUCCUUUAUUAUCCUCAUUUUGCUUUAUCUUCUUCAAAGCCGAGAUCUUGUAAGAAGAAAAAAAGAACAAAAAAAAAGAUGACCAAAAACUCGAACGAACUCGAUCCUUAUAUCGAGCGCAAAGCUUUCGACGAGACAAAAGGAGGAGUAAAAGGCCUCGUCGACGCUAAAAUCACUGAAGUUCCUCGAAUCUUCCACAUACCUCAAGAUACCUUAACAGACAAGAAACCAUCUGCCUCUGUAUUAGACCUAGAGAUCCCUACCAUCGACUUUGCAAGCGUUCACGUGGACACGGCAUCACGUGAAGCCGUCGUAGAGAAAGUCAAAUACGCGGCGGAGAAGUGGGGAUUCUUCCAGGUGGUCAAUCAUGGUGUUCCUUUAAACGUUCUUGAAGAGAUCAAAGAUGGAGUUCGCAGGUUUCACGAGGAAGAUCCUGAGGUCAAGAAACGAUACUUCUCGCGUGAUAUCGCCAAUAAAAAUUUUGUCUACAACAGUAAUUUCGAUCUAUACAGUCCUUCGCCGUCUGUUAACUGGAGAGAUACUUUCCAGUGUUACAUAGCUCCAGAUCCUCCAACUCCUGAGGAACUCCCAGUGACUUGCAGGUGACGGUAACAUACUUAACAUCUUUUUCUUCACUUAAAUAUAUUUGGAGGUCGCAAUUCACAAACCUAAUCAUCAAUCAGAGCUGCAAACUGCAAUGGCCAUAUAAAUUUCUUAGAGGCUAAGAAGGAUAUGCAUAAGUUUGUAAAGUAUUAUCAAUCGAUUUGAACGUCUAAACUUUGAAAAGAGAGUGAUUGAUUUCUAACAUCAUUGAUUGACUCAGGGAUGCUAUGUUCGAAUACUCAAAGCAUGUGCUGAGUUUAGGUGGUCUGCUCUUAGAGCUUCUCUCAGAAGCCCUAGGUUUGAAUUCUGAGAUCCUUAAGAGCAUGGAUUGCUUAAAGAAUUUGCUCAUGGUCUGCCAUUAUUACCCUCCGUGUCCACAACCAGACCUAACUUUGGGGAUAAGUAAACACUCAGACACCUCUUUCCUCACGGUUCUUCUUCAAGACAACAUCGGUGGUCUUCAAGUUCUUCAUCAAGACUCUUGGGUAGAUGUCGCUCCUCUUCCUGGAGCUCUCAUCAUCAACAUCGGAGAUUUCUUGCAGGUAAAGUAAGAUUAUGAAAUAGAUACUUAAUACAUUAAUCUAAAAUGUGUUUUUUAUUUAUAUAUAUUCCUAAUUUGAUUUCGCAGCUGAUAACGAACGAUAAGUUUGUAAGUGUGGAGCAUAGGGUGCUUGCGAAUAGACAAGGACCAAGAAUUUUUCAGUAGCAAGCUUUUUCAGCUCAAGUAAAGGGCCCGAUUCCACAGUUUAUGGACCGAUGAAAGAGCUUGUGUCUGAAAACAACCCUCCAAAAUAUAGAGACAUAACCUUGAAAGAAUACACAGAAGGAUUCAUUGAGAAAGGUCUCGAUGGAACAUCGCAUCUCUUGAAUUUCAGGAUAUGAAUUCUGUGUGUUUGUUAGCAUCAGUCACUCUGUUCUUGGCUCUUUAAUAAUAAAACCAGUGUACCUAAAGAAAAAUGUGCGUUUCUACGUAAAUGUAAUGAGCUACUCUGUAUUUGGAUCUUUCUACUUUAGCCAAUAAGUAUCCCAUUACGUAGCCAUAAGUGAAUGCAUUGCAUUGAUUUGAUCUAAAGAUUCAAAACUUUAUUUUUGCUUUCUACCUCUUCAGUUCUUGUUUGAGAUUGUGACAAGGAUGAAGUUAUUUUCGUUACCACACCAAUUUUAAUUGCUUAUUUUAUAUAUAUGCCUAUAUGGAAUGGAGAACUAACCAAAGAAAAUGUCGACUCUUACCUGGAUAGUGGAUACUAUCCCACAUCCAUAUUAAUUAAUUUAUAUGGAAUUUAAUUUUUAGAAAGUAAUGAGUUUACGCCUUACGGGUAGCUGUAAAUGACAUUUAAAAUAAUAUACAGUUAUAUUCAUUUAUGCCGAGGACAUUUUUAUAAAACAGGGGAGUAUUUUUUUUAUAUAUAUAAAAUUUUAGUUAUACCUAUUAAAAUGCAUAAGUUAUCUUUUUUUUUUAAUUUUUUAACAUCUGCCAUCUUAAUUAAAAUUAUCUUGAAAGAGUUCAACAUGACCCCAUUUAUGAUGAUCAACUAGUCGAACAAAUUCACCAUGUACAAAGAGCAAUAUUGAAAGAGUUCCAGCUUUUCUUUUGUAAAAAUAUUAGACAACACCUCUUUUGGGGAGUAGUAUUAGGUAGAACUAUAUGCAUAAUUGAGCAAUUAGUCCAUAAUAAACCAAAAUCAGAGAAGAAAAAGUUAACUACGACAAGUCGUUAAAGUGAGCGUGAGAGAAAGAGAGAGACAACGAUCAGUUACAAAGUCUACAAAAACGGACAUAUUCGGUCCCACACACCAAAGACCAAAAUUCCUACCGUCGAUUCUCUUAGUCGUCCAUUUUUGUCUUCACUUUGCUAUAUCUUCUUCUUAAGUAGAAAUCUUAUGAAAAAGAAAGCAAAAAGAAUGAAUGGUGACCUAAAACUCGAUCGAGUUCGAUCCUUAUAUCGAACGAAAGGCUUUCAGCGAGACAAAAGAAGGAGUAAAACUGUAAAAGGACUCGUCGACGCUAAAAUCACCGAAGUCCCUCGAAUCUUCCACGUCCCGAAAGAUUCCUCAACAGACAAGAAACCAUCUGUCUCUGUUUCAGACCUAGAGAUCCACAAAAAUGCACAUGCUCGGUCCCACACACUAAUGACCAAAUGCUAACCGUCGGUUCUCUUUUUGUUUUUUUAUCCACAUUUUGCUUUAUCUUCUUCAAAACAGACAUCUUGUAAGAAAACAAAAAAAAAAGAAGGAAAAAGAUGGUGACCGAAAACUCGAUCGAAUUCGAUCCUUAUGUCGAGCGCAAAGCUUUCGACGAGACAAAAGAAGGAGUCAAAGGCCUCGUCGACGCUAAAAUCACAGAGGUCCCACGAAUCUUCCACGUCCCGCAAGAUUCCGCAACAGACAAGAAACCCUCUGUUUCUGUUUCCGACCUAGAGAUCCCUACCAUCGACUUCGCAAGCGUCCACGUGGACACGGCGUCACGUGAAGCCGUCGUAGAGAAAGUCAAAUACGCGGCGGAGAAGUGGGGGUUCUUCCAGGUGAUCAAUCAUGGUGUUCCUUUACACGUUCUUGAAGAGACCAAAGAUGGAGUUCGCAGGUUUCACGAGGAAGAUCCUGAGGUCAAGAAACGAUAUUUCUCGCGUGAUUCCGCCAGUAAAAAGUUUUUCUACAACAGUAAUUUCGAUCUAUACAGUUCUUCUCCGUCUGUUAGCUGGAGAGAUACUUUCACUUGUUUCAUAGCUCCAGAACCUCCUUCUCCUGAGGAACUCCCAGUGACUUGCAGGUGACGGUAACAUACUUGACAUAUUUUUUUCUUUUUCUUAAAUAUGCCUGUGAUUUGAAAAAGGUUGUAAAGAAAUUAGUGUUUUAACCGGUUAAUUUUCUUAUGGUGUAAGCCGGAUUGGACAGUACUCUUGUAUGCAUCAAGCACAAAAUUAAUCGUUGACUAGUACUAAAUUAUUAUGUGAGUCCUUUAAAAGAUAGUGAUUUGAUUUAUAACAUCAUUGAUUGACUCAGGGAUGCUGUGAUCGAAUACUCAAAGCAUGUGAUGGUUUUAGGUGGUUUGCUCUUUGAGCUACUCUCAGAAGCCCUAGGUUUGAAUUCUGAUAUACUUAAGAGCAAGGAUUGCUUAAAGUCUUUGCUCAUGCUCGGCCAUUAUUACCCACCUUGUCCACAACCUGACCUAACUUUGGGGAUAAAUAAACACUCAGACAACUCUUUCCUCAGUGUUCUUCUUCAAGACAACAUCGGUGGUCUUCAAGUUCUUCAUCAAGACUCUUGGGUUGAUGUCGCUCCUCUUCCUGGAGCUCUCGUCAUCAAUAUCGGAGAUUUCUUGCAG
rnacentral:lncRNA from 1 species